UACGGAAGGCAGCAGUGGGGAAUAUUGCACAAUGGGCGCAAGCCUGAUGCAGCCAUGCCGCGUGUAUGAAAAAGGCCUUCGGGUUGUAAAGUACUUUCUAGUCGUGAGGAAGGUGUUAAGGUUAAUAACCUUAGCAAUUGACGUUAGCGACAGAAGAAGCACCGGCUAACUCCGUGCCAGCAGCCGCGGUAAUACGGAGGGUGCGAGCGUUAAUCGGAAUUACUGGGCGUAAAGGGCACGCAGGCGGUUAAUUAAGUUGGAUGUGAAAUCCCCGGGCUUAACCUGGGAAUGGCAUUCAAGACUGGUUAGCUAGAGUCUUGUAGAGGGGGUAGGAAUUCCAUGUGUAGCGGUGAAAUGCGUAGAGAUGUGGAGGAAUACCGGUGGCGAAGGCGGCCCCCUGGACAAAGACUGACGCUCAUGUGCGAAAGCGUGGGGAGCAAACAGGGAUUAGAUACC
rnacentral:rRNA from 1 species